GGCCUAUCAGCUUGUUGGUGGGGUAAUGGCCUACCAAGGCGGCGACGGGUAUACGGCCUGAGAGGGUGUACGGACACAUUGGGACUGAGAUACGGCCCAGACUCCUACGGGGAGGCAGCAGUGGGGAAUAUUGCACAAUGGGCGCAAGCCUGAUGCAGCGACGCCGCGUGGGGGAUGAAGGCCUUCGGGUUGUAAACUCCUUUCGCUAUCGACGAAGCCACUUGUGGUGACGGUAGGUAGAUAAGAAGCACCGGCUAACUACGUGCCAGCAGCCGCGGUAAUACGUAGGGUGCAAGCGUUGUCCGGAAUUACUGGGCGUAAAGAGCUCGUAGGUGGUUUGUCGCGUCGUCUGUGAAAUCCCGGGGCUUAACUUCGGGCGUGCAGGCGAUACGGGCAUAACUUGAGUGCUGUAGGGGAGACUGGAAAUUCCUGGUGUAGCGGUGAAAUGCGCAGAUAUCAGGAGGAACACCGAUGGCGAAGGCAGGUCUCUGGGCAGUUACUGACGCUGAGGAGCGAAAGCAUGGGUAGCGAACAGGAUUAGAUACCCUGGUAGUCCAUGCCGUAAACGGUGGGCGCUAGGUGUGGGGUCUUCCACGACUUCCGUGCCGUAGCUAACGCAUUAAGCGCCCCGCCUGGGGAGUACGG
rnacentral:rRNA from 1 species